rnacentral:lncRNA from 1 species
GUUUGGAGGAUUACCUUGCUGCUUAUUCCCUUCUGAUUCCAGAAAUCCUCCAAGACUUAAAAAAAAAAAUAUAUAUAUAUAUUUUUUUUAGAACAUUUGAGGAAUUUUGCAACCCUAAUGUCAACAUUGGAGAGGCCUUAUAAAAGCCUCUGGUUACGGCCUCUAGAUAGGCCUCUAGUUCCGACUGCGAAACCUACGUUAAACCAUGGGACAUAAAUAGCUAGGUAGAGAUCUUCAAACUGGAUGUCUCAUUUGGACCAGUCACUUAAACUGUCAUUGUCAUUUCAGACCACAUUUUACCCAAGUGCCCAUGGGUUACAAUUGGUUACCUUUUGUUUUACUUCAUGGAUGUUUUGGAUCUUUCUAAUCAUCAGGGGUGGGUGUUUGUGUGCUCGACGAGGAGGGAGGGUUUUACUCUUCUUUUGAGCCAGAAAGUUAGCGGUUUCUAUCCACCUUACUUCCGUGCUAUGGCUGUCUGUCAGUCAUUGGCUGUGUCUGAAUGCUUAGCCAAAAUGUAAUAAUCCCCUUUUCCCAAUGACGUUGUGCCAACACCCAACCCUGUUGACUUUAAAGCUUCACUCUAGAAAGUGCCUCACAGGUUGAUUUUUAUAUGGUAAAUGUUCACUGCACCUUUCCCUCAGUGAGUUGGUUGAGUGUUGGUGUAUAGAAGCUUGGUAAACAAGUAUCACCUUACAGAUUAGUACAUAUAUUUGCCCCCUUCCCACUAUCUCUGAGCCAUCGUAUAGAACUUUGUCGACAAAGCACCUGUGUACAAAGCCCGAGCUGCCUCUUGGCUUUGUAACUCUGAGACCAAGAACAGGGCCUUUUUUAUUCUUCUGUUCAUGCUCCACCAGCUUCGAGCUGACAAGGUAAAAAUCUGUCGCUCUGUCCCGGAGCAAGGCAGUUAACCCGCUGUUCCCCGGGCGCCAAAGACGUGGAUGUCGAUUUUAAGGCAGCCCUCCGCACCUCUCUGAUUGAGAAGAGUUGGGUUAAAUGCGGAAGACCCAUUUCAGUUGAAUACAUUUAGUUGGACAACUGACUAGGUAUCCCCCUUUCCAUUUCAUGCUGUAACGCCGGGUUCCAUUCCAAUUCAAACCCAUUCCAUUGUUUUGUGUUCCAGCUAUGUCUUCACUCCAUUUCACUGAAGUGCUGGACCUUUGACUAUUCCUUCUUUAUGGCCCCUCGUUGAGUCCUCCACCUAACCAAAUAUAGUUGGUAUAAUACAUUGCCCUGAGUUACUGCAAUCACAAAGACAUAGUUUACUGGUUAUUACAGAGGACAGCCUAGCGUGUCUGGGUCCUUGUUCCAUACCCCUGCUAGCUGCAGAUUGAAAUGUGGCGUAAUGCCCCAGUAGAGCAUUUUGAAUAUCCCUGUCUGAGUAACAGGGCGCAACUUUCUCCAGAGACGGUGAACGAUAGCGAAACAGACUGGAGGAGUGGGACUUCAUAGGGUUCAACCAGUCUCUCCCACCCCUAAACCUGUCUCUCCUCUGAGCCCAUUUAGCUGUCCCUUUUGAGACGCCCAAAGUUGUCUCGCUCUUUCUCUUAACUCCUAUCCUCUCUUUCUCCUUCCGCCGCCUUCUCGUUCUCUUUUCCCUUUGGGCCGGUUUUGUCUCCCUUAUAACCGGUCACUGUCCCACUCCCUUCUGUACAUAAUGUAGGGUUAUUUAUAUUUCAUUCCUCUCUGCUGCCUUGCUUUUUAUUUUCUCAUUUUUUUAAGAAUCUAUAUUAAAACUGUACUGGGACC